rnacentral:misc_RNA from 1 species
AAAAGUUGGUUGUCAUUAAGGGGAACAAAGGUUACCAAAACAAUUUUACCACCUGAUGAUGUUAGACAACUACCUUUUGGACUUAUCCUCACCUAGCAUCUUUUACCCUCCUCUUCGAGCUUUCUUAAUUCUAUAUGAUACUAAUAAUGGUGUGAACUUAGAAGUCAAUAGCCCAAACUUGAUAAGCCUACCACCAUUUAGCCACCAUCCUCCUCAUCCUCGGCCUCAAAACCUAGGUCCCAAGUGUUCUUUGAUUAUGAAAUUUAA